rnacentral:tRNA from 1 species
GCCUGGAUACUGUAGCUCAGUUGGUUAGAGCGUGGUGCUGAUAAUGCCAAGGUUGCAGGUUUGAUCCCAGGUAUGGGACA